rnacentral:rRNA from 1 species
UAGCUGAGGCAUGAUAACGAGGGCCCUCGGGCCCGAAGCAACUGAUACCCUGCUUCCAGGAAAAGCCUCUAAGCUUCAGUCAUAGAGUGACCGUACCGCAAACCGACACAGGUGGGCUGGUAGAGAAUACCAAGGCGCUUGAGAGAACUCAGGAGAAGGAACUCGGCAAAUUGAUACCGUAACUUCGGGAGAAGGUAUGCCCCGUUAGCUUGUAGGAGUACAUCCGAAGGGCGAAGGGGCCGCAGAGAAUCGGUGGCUGCGACUGUUUAUUAAAAACACAGCACUGUGCAAACACGAAAGUGGACGUAUACGGUGUGACGCCUGCCCGGUGCCGGAAGGUUAAGUGAUGGGGUGCAAGCUCUUGAUCGAAGCCCCGGUAAACGGCGGCCGUAACUAUAACGGUCCUAAGGUAGCGAAAUUCCUUGUCGGGUAAGUUCCGACCUGCACGAAUGGCGUAACGAUGGCCACACUGUCUCCUCCUGAGACUCAGCGAAGUUGAAAUGUUUGUGAAGAUGCAAUCUACCCGCGGCUAGACGGAAAGACCCCAUGAACCUUUACUGUAGCUUUGCAUUGGACUUUGACGGGAUUUGUGUAGGAUAGGUGGGAGGCUAUGAAACCAGGACGCUAGUUCGGGUGGAGCCAACCUUGAAAUACCACCCUGGUGUCGUCGAGGUUCUAACCCAGGUCUGUGAAUCCAGAUCGGGGACCGUGCAUGGUGGGCAGUUUGACUGGGGCGGUCUCCUCCUAAAGCGUAACGGAGGAGUACGAAGGUCACCUAGGUACGGUCGGACAUCGUACUGAUAGUGCAAUGGCAAAAGGUGGCUUGACUGCGAGACCCACAAGUCGAGCUGGUGCGAAAGCAGGUCAUAGUGAUCCGGUGGUUCUGUAUGGAAGGGCCAUCGCUCAACGGAUAAAAGGUACUCUGGGGAUAACAGGCUGAUUCCGCCCAAGAGUUCACAUCGACGGCGGAGUUUGGCACCUCGAUGUCGGCUCAUCACAUCCUGGGGCUGUAGCCGGUCCCAAGGGUAUGGCUGUUCGCCAUUUAAAGUGGUACGUGAGCUGGGUUUAAAACGUCGUGAGACAGCUUGGUCCCUAUCUGCCGUGGGCGCUGGAAGUUUGAGAGGGCUUGCUCCUAGUACGAGAGGACCGGAGUGAACGCACCCCUGGUGUACCGGUUGUGACGCCAGUCGCAUCGCCGGGUAGCUAUGUGCGGAAGAGAUAACCGCUGAAAGCAUCUAAGCGGGAAACUCGCCUCAAGAUGAGACUUCCCCGGGGCCUCGAGCCCCCUGAAGGGUCGUUGAAGACCACAACGUUGAUAGGUCGGGUGUGGAAGCGUGGCAACACGUUAAGCUAACCGAUACUAAUUGCCCGUGUGGCUUGAUC